GUUGCAGGCAAAGUUAGCAGGUACCACUGAUGCAACUGACUUUCCAACUGACACAGACGAGCACUUCUGAUCAGGAGGAGGAUCAUUAUGCCUUAACUUUUUAGUGAAACUUAAGUUCUUUUUGCUAUCAUGAACAGGUUGCUCUGGCCUCCAUUACUCUUCAAGAGUCACCACCAUAGCACGUAGAGUACUGCUGCAGCCAGACCCCAGAGCACCACAAGACAAUGGGAACACAUCCUGACUCCCAGCAUCCUGCAAUGGCUCCCUAUCAAUUGCUAGAUCUAAAUCAAAACCCUGAGCUUUAAGGGUUUUUGGAAUCUGCCUCUCCCUGGGAUCACUUUGCUCUCUCCAUUACAAUGACCUGGUUGCACUCAACUGGACCAAUGGAGUUAUUAGUGAUAAGCUUGAUAUGUGAAAGCGGUGGUCAGAGACACCUAAGCAGCCAGCCCAUUGUGGUAGAACUCCCACCAGACAUAGACUGACAAUGGAUCUCAUCACAUUUAGAUCAAGAUGUAAGACUUAUCUUUUUGACAGGGUUUUUCCCAAUACAAAACCAGGCGCAGUUUGCUAUGUGCAGAAAUGAAAUUACAAAAGAGGAAGAAGAAAGAUUUAAAAAUAGCCUCAGGUAAUAUAAGUGCACCUCAACAGCUUUUACGAGAAAAGGAAGCAGAAUGCAAUCCUGUGGACUACUUGUUCACAUAUGUAAUUUUUGUGUGCAUUAAGAUACCACUAAAUAGGUGCAUUGCAGAUAGAGAUCAUGAUCAGAAGGAGCUAGGAAUCUGUGGUGAGUGUGCAUCUAAUAAUCCCGAAGAAAGAAAAUGGGCAAAUUUAUGUUAACAUAUUGAAUGUCCCUCUUACUCGGUUAUUGAGCAUGGAGCAUAUAAUACUAUUAAAAGAACUGAAGAUCACCUUUAUAUACGUUAAAUAUGCUUUCUAUAUCCUUUAA